CCCUUAGAUGUUCUGGGCCGCACGCGCGCUACACUGAUGCAUUCAACAAGUUUUACCUUGGCCGAGAGGCCUGGGAAAUCUUUCAAAUAUGCAUCGUGAUAGGGAUAGAUUAUUGCAAUUAUUAAUCUUGAACGAGGAAUUCCUAGUAAAUGCAGAUCAUCAUUCUGCGUUGAUUACGUCCCUGCCCUUUGUACACACCGCCCGUCGCACCUACCGAUUGAAUGAUCCGGUGAAGCCUCGGGAUUGUGCCCAGAGAACUUUAUUGUGAUUUGGGUGUGAGAACUUGUCUAAACCUUAUCAUUUAGAGGAAGGUGAAGUCGUAACA
rnacentral:rRNA from 1 species